rnacentral:rRNA from 1 species
UACAGAGGGGGCAAGCGUUGUUCGGAAUUACUGGGCGUAAAGGGCGCGUAGGCGGCCCGCUAAGUCGAACGUGAAAUCCCCGGGCUCAACCCGGGAACUGCGUCCGAUACUGGUGGGCUCGAAUCCGGGAGAGGGAUGCGGAAUUCCAGGUGUAGCGGUGAAAUGCGUAGAUAUCUGGAGGAAUACCGGUGGCGAAGGCGGCAUCCUGGACCGACAUUGACGCUGAGGAGCGAAAGCCAGGGGAGCAAACGGG